rnacentral:snRNA from 15 species
AUACUUACCUGGACGGGGUCGAUGCCUGAUCAAGAAGAGGCAUGGCCUAGGUCAGUGGCCCACAUUGCACUUUGUGGGUGCGCUGGCUUACCAUCUCCCCAAGUGGGAGAGUGGACGUCGUAAUUUGUGGCAGAGGGGGUACGCGUCCGCGCGGCCCCUGC